rnacentral:rRNA from 1 species
AUUGAACGCUGGCGGCAUGCCUUACACAUGCAAGUCGAACGGUAACAGGUUAAGCUGACGAGUGGCGAACGGGUGAGUAAUAUAUCGGAACGUGCCCAGUCGUGGGGGAUAACGUAGCGAAAGCUACGCUAACACCGCAUACGAUCUACGGAUGAAAGCGGGGGAUCGCAAGACCUCGCGCGAUUGGAGCGGCGGAUAUCAGAUUAGGUUGUUGGUGAGGUAAAAGCUCACCAAGCCUGCGAUCUGUAGCUGGUCUGGGAGGACGACCAGCCACACUGGAACUGAGACACGGUCCAGACUCCUACGGGAGGCAGCAGUGGGGAAUUUUGGACAAUGGACGCAAGUCUGAUCCAGCAAUGCCGCGUGCAGGACGAAGGCCUUCGGGUUGUAAACUGCUUUUGUACGGAACGAAACGGUGAGCUCUACUACGGUUUGCUAAUGACGGUACCGUAAGAAUAAGCACCGGCUAACUACGUGCCAGCAGCCGCCGUAA